rnacentral:lncRNA from 1 species
AGGGGAGGCUAAACAAACAGCCUGGGUUUUUAAUAAGAAUUGUACAAAGUGCUUUAUGGGACUAAGACUCCUGGCUGCAGUACUUAUAAAAUUAGCUUUGAUAUGGGAGGGCAAGAAAUAGCACCCGAGUCUCAGAAGAUGAAAGUUUCUUCAUGCUCUGCUGGCUUGAAGGGUAGUAAAUGUACAAAAUCGCUUUCUCAUUUAACAGCCAGAAUUAAAAUUUGCAUAAAACUACCCUAAAACAAAGAAACAAACAAACAAAAAACUAAACUAAAUCACCUGUAUUUUUCCUAUUGCUUUGCUCUGUGCUACAGUUUCAAUGUGGUUUGUCCCAACCAAAACUCAUGUUGAAAUUUGAUCACCAAUGUGGCAGUGUUGGGAGGUGUUUGGAUGAUCGAGGCGGAUCCCUCACGAAUAGAUGAACGUCCUCCUGCUGGAAGAGCGAGUUCUCGCUUUCUUGGGAAUGGGUUAAUUCCCAAGAGAGUGCAUUGUUAAAAGGUGUCUGGCUUCCUCAGUUUGACUCUUUUGCAUCCUGUCUCAAUCUCUUUGACAUGCCCACUACCCUUCCUCUUUCCACCAUUGGUGGAAGCAGUGUGAGGCCUUCACCAGACACAGCUGCCCAAUCCUGGACCUUCCAGCCACCAGAAUUGUGAGAUAAAUAAAUCUCUUUUCUUUAUAAAUUACCCAGUCUUGGGUAUUUUGUUAUAGCAACACAAAACAGACUAAGA